rnacentral:rRNA from 1 species
CCUACGGGAGGCAGCAGUGAGGAAUAUUGGUCAAUGGGCGGAAGCCUGAACCAGCCAAGUCGCGUGAGGGAAUAAGGCCCUACGGGUCGUAAACCUCUUUUGCCGGGGAGCAAGGGCGGGGACGUGUCCCGGCCCGGAGAGUACCCGGAGAAAAAGCAUCGGCUAACUCCGUGCCAGCAGCCGCGGUAAUACGGGGGAUGCGAGCGUUAUCCGGAUUUAUUGGGUUUAAAGGGUGCGUAGGCGGGCUUUUAAGUCAGCGGGAAAAAUGCGGGGCUCAACCCCGUCCGGCCGUUGAAACUGGGGGCCUUGAGUGGGCAAGAAGAAGGCGGAAUGCGUGGUGUAGCGGUGAAAUGCAUAGAUAUCACGCAGAACCCCGAUUGCGAAGGCAGCCUUCCGGCGCCCUACUGACGCUGAGGCACGAAAGUGCGGGGAUCGAACAGGAUUAGAUACCCCAGUAGUC